GCGAACGUCUGAAAGCAGGUUUCUCUAGACUACGAAUCAGGAGGUCGCAGGUUCGAGUCCUGCCGAGCGCGCCA
rnacentral:tRNA from 1 species